rnacentral:rRNA from 1 species
GACGAACGCUGGCGGCGUGCCUAAUACAUGCAAGUUGAGCGCUGAAGGUUGGUACUUGUACCAACUGGAUGAGCAGCGAACGGGUGAGUAACGCGUGGGGAAUCUGCCUUUGAGCGGGGGACAACAUUUGGAAACGAAUGCUAAUACCGCAUAAAAACUUUAAACACAAGUUUUAAGUUUGAAAGAUGCAAUUGCAUCACUCAGAGAUGAUCCCGCGUUGUAUUAGCUAGUUGGUGAGGUAAAGGCUCACCAAGGCGAUGAUACAUAGCCGACCUGAGAGGGUGAUCGGCCACAUUGGGACUGAGACACGGCCCAAACUCCUACGGGAGGCAGCAGUAGGGAAUCUUCGGCAAUGGACGAAAGUCUGACCGAGCAACGCCGCGUGAGUGAAGAAGGUUUUCGGAUCGUAAAACUCUGUUGGUAGAGAAGAACGUUGGUGAGAGUGGAAAGCUCAUCAAGUGACGGUAACUACCCAGAAAGGGACGGCUAACUACGUG